UGCCUGUCGCUGGUUCAACGACCA
rnacentral:siRNA from 1 species